CCUACGGGUGGCAGCAGUGAGGAAUAUUGGUCAAUGGACGAAAGUCUGAACCAGCCAAGUAGCGUGAAGGAUGACUGCCCUAUGGGUUGUAAACUUCUUUUAUAUGGGAAUAAAAUGUUCCACGUGUGGGAUUUUGUAUGUACCAUAUGAAUAAGGAUCGGCUAACUCCGUGCCAGCAGCCGCGGUAAUACGGAGGAUCCAAGCGUUAUCCGGAUUUAUUGGGUUUAAAGGGUGCGUAGGUGGAUUGUUAAGUCAGUUGUGAAAGUUUGCGGCUCAACCGCAAAAUUGCAGUUGAUACUGGCAGGCUUGAGUACAGUAGAGGUGGGCGGAAUUCGUGGUGUAGCGGUGAAAUGCUUAGAUAUCACGAAGAACUCCGAUUGCGAAGGCAGCUCACUGGACUGCAACUGACACUGAGGCUCGAAAGUGUGGGUAUCAAACAGGAUUAGAGACCCCUGUAGUC
rnacentral:rRNA from 1 species